rnacentral:rRNA from 1 species
CGAAGGGGGCUAGCGUUACUCGGAAUGACUGGGCGUAAAGGGCGCGUAGGCGGUUUGCUUAGUUAGGCGUGAAAUUCCUGGGCUCGAACCUGGGGGCUGCGCUUAAUACAGGCAGACUAGAGUGUGAAAGAGGGUCGUGGAAUUUCCAGUGUAGAGGUGAAAUUCGUAGAUAUUGGAAAGAACACCGGUGGCGAAGGCGGCGACCUGGUUCAUUACUGACGCUGAGGCGCGAAAGCGUGGGGAGCAAACAGGAUUAGAUACCCUGGUAGUCCACGCCGUAAACGAUAUGUGCUGGAUGUUAGGCAACCUAGUUGCUUAGUGUCGUAGCUAACGCGGUAAGCACACCGCCUGGGGAGUACGGCCGCAAGGUUG